rnacentral:rRNA from 1 species
GACGAACGCUGGCGGCAUGCCUAAUACAUGCAAGUCGAACGCAGUGGGGACGGGUGAGUAACACGUGGGUAACCUCCCAUCAGAGGGGAUAACACUUGGAAACAGGUGCUAAACCGAUACUGAUGGAUGGACCCGCGGUGCAUUAGCUAGUUGGUGAGGUAACGGCUCACCAAGGCCACGAUGCAUAGCCGACCGGGGAGGGUGAGCGGCCAGACUGGGACUGAGACACGGGCCAGACUCCGACGGGAGGCAGAAGUAGGGGAUCUUCGGCAAUGGACGAAAGUCGGACCGAGCAACGCCGCGGUAUGGAAGAGGGUUUUGGGAUCGUAAAUCCCUGUUGUUAGAGAAGCGGUAUCUAACGAGAAAUACACGGCUAACUACGUGCCAGCAGCCGCGGUAAUAC